GAGCCAGUCGGGGGGCCUUGGAAUUGACCCUGCAGGAACCUCCACUGCUGUCUGGCCCCUGACCAGGUGCCUGCCCUCCCUGAGCCUGCUCCUGCACACACAAUGACGUGGGAAUGCCACCUCCAGCAUUGGCCUGGGGUCAGGGAGACCCACCCUGCAGAGCGCCUGGCCCAGCAGCUUCCCACUGAUGGCUUUCUGUCCCCAUCCCCUCCAGGACCUGAGCCCAGGACAACCGUUGUCUAAGCAGAUGGUCUCCCUGGGCCCAGGAUGGCAGAGAGGCCUCCCACCGUGUCUCGCCAAGCCCCGCAUCUCAGCUGGGCGGCUUGAGCUCGGCUCGCUCCGGAGUCCCCCUGGGUCAAGUCUGCCCACCUCCCUGCCCCGCCUGGGGGCAAGCAGAGCUCUCGGGGGCCGCCAGGUGACAUCCCCUGGAUGCGUCCCGAGGCUCUGCCAGCAUUGGCAGGUGGCAGGCCAGGAUGCGGGGGCGGGAGGGCCCAGCCUGGAGUAUUUAAAUAUUUGCUUUCUCAUAGAAUGGCAUUCUUCGGAAUAUUAGCCAAUUUGUAUAGAAUUCGUCAGCACCCAGCCCCCCGCUGCCGCAGGAUUCCAGGGGGCAGGAGGCGCCCGCAGCCUCACCCGACACAGGCUGUCCAGCAAGUCCCAGCCCAGGGCCUGUCCGCCUGCCCAGCAUGGGGGUGGGGUGGCAGGGGGUGGGCAGUGAUCCCGGACACCCCUGGGCCAGCUCGUGCCCUGCACAGGGCAGCUGCAGAGCCCUCCGAGCACCAGGGAGGUGGCUGCUGGCCCUUCCUUCACACACACGCCCUCACUCACAUGUACACGCUGGCCAAGCAAGCUCAGGCCAGCCCUGGCCACUGGGCCAAUGUCCCCAUGGGCCAGCCCAGGGACCACCAGGGAGGGACGCAGGAAAACCUGCCCAGCCCUCUGAUAGAGUUCCAGAGACACCCAUGGAAUCCAUAGAAGAGCUAAGUUCAAAUCCUAACACUCUUUUUACCUUUAUUUUAUUUACUUUUUCUUAAUGCGGUGCUGAGGAUCAAACCCAGUGCCUCACGCAUGCUAGGCAAGCACUCUACCUCUGAGCCACAACCCCAGCCCCCAAAUCCUGACACUCUUAACUUGCUG
rnacentral:lncRNA from 1 species